GAAUUGACGGGGACCCGCACAAGCGGUGGAGCAUGUGGUUUAAUUCGAAGCAACGCGAAGAACCUUACCAAGGCUUGACAUCCUCCUGCCGGGCUUGUAAUGGAGUCUUUCCCUUCGGGGACGGGAGAGACAGGUGGUGCAUGGUUGUCGUCAGCUCGUGUCGUGAGAUGUUGGGUUAAGUCCCGCAACGAGCGCAACCCUUAUCUUUAGUAGCCAGCGAGUAAAGUCGGGCACUCUAGAGAGACUGCCGGGGUUAACCCGGAGGAAGGUGGGGAUGACGUCAAAUCAUCAUGCCCCUUAUGUCUUGGGCUACACACGUGCUACAAUGGCUGCGACAAAGGGAAGCGAAGGGGUGACCUGGAGCGAAACCCAAAAAAGCAGUCCCAGUUCGGAUUGGAGUCUGCAACUCGACUCCAUGAAGGUGGAUUCGCUAGUAAUCGCGCAUCAGCAUGUCGCGGUGAAUACGUUCCCGGGUCUUGUACACACCG
rnacentral:rRNA from 1 species